AAGCCAUGUUAUUUUGUGAGAGCA
rnacentral:siRNA from 1 species